UACAGAGGUCCCAAGCGUUGUUCGGAUUCAUUGGGCGUAAAGGGUGCGUAGGCGGCGCGGUAAGUCGGGUGUGAAAUCUCGGAGCUUAACUCCGAAACUGCAUUCGAUACUGCCGUGCUUGAGGACUGGAGAGGAGAAUGGAAUUCCCGGUGUAGCGGUGAAAUGCGCAGAUAUCGGGAGGAACACCGGUGGCGAAGGCGGUUCUCUGGGCCUUACCUGACACUGAGGAGCGAAAGCGUGGGGAGCGAACAGG
rnacentral:rRNA from 1 species